rnacentral:tRNA from 1 species
GGAGGGAGGAGCUCAGUGGUAGAGCUUGUGCUUCACAUUCACAAGGUCCUGGGUUCAAUACCUAGUACCUCCA